GAUGAACGCUGGCGGCGUGCUUAACACAUGCAAGUCGAACGAAGCAAUUUAACGGAAGUUUUCGGAUGGAAGUUAAAUUGACUGAGUGGCGGACGGGUGAGUAACGCGUGGGUAGCCUGCCUCAUACAGGGGGAUAACAGUUAGAAAUGACUGCUAAUACCGCAUAAGCGCACAGAAUCGCAUGGUCUGGUGUGAAAAACUCCGGUGGUAUGAGAUGGACCCGCGUCUGAUUAGCUAGUUGGUGGGGUAACGGCCUACCAAGGCGACGAUCAGUAGCCGACCUGAGAGGGUGACCGGCCACAUUGGGACUGAGACACGGCCCAAACUCCUACGGGAGGCAGCAGUGGGGAAUAUUGCACAAUGGGCGAAAGCCUGAUGCAGCGACGCCGCGUGAGCGAAGAAGUAUUUCGGUAUGUAAAGCUCUAUCAGCAGGGAAGAAAAAUGACGGUACCUGACUAAGAAGCACCGGCUAAAUACGUGCCAGCAGCCGCAGUAAUAC
rnacentral:rRNA from 1 species